rnacentral:rRNA from 1 species
UGGGGGAUAUUGCACAAUGGGCGAAAGCCUGAUGCAGCGACGCCGCGUGGGGGAUGAAGGCCUUCGGGUUGUAAACUUCUUUUGCUCUGAACAAGGCGCACCAUGGGGUGUGUUGAGUGUAGGGGUUGAUUAGCGCCGGCUAACUACGUGCCAGCAGCCGCGGUAAUACGUAGGGCGCGAGCGUUGUCCGGAAUUAUUGGGCGUAAAGGGCUUGUAGGUGGCUGGUUGCGUCUGUCGUGAAAGCUCAUGGCUUAACUGUGGGUUUGCGGUGGGUACGGGCUGGCUUGAGUGCAGUAGGGGAAGCUGGAAUUCCUGGUGUAGCGGUGGAAUGCGCAGAUAUCAGGAGGAAUACCGGUGGCGAAGGCGGGUCUCUGGGCUGUUACUGACACUGAGGAGCGAAAGCAUGGGGAGCGAACAGG